AUGUGCGCAUGUGCGUCAUUGGGUGGGACGCAUGCGUAGGGAGCUGUGAGAUAAACCUGAGCCACUGCGGCAAGUCUGGCGUAGAGAGGAGAGGGAGCUGGAGAUGUCUGACGCUUGGUUCUGAGGAGCGAUUUCAACGCGAUGGAGCGAGCAAGGGAUCGCUUACACCUGAGAAGAACUACUGAACAGCACGUACCAGAGGUAGAAGUCCAGGUCAAACGUAGAAGGACUGCCUCCCUGAGCAACCAAGAGUGUCACCUGUACCCAAGACGUUCUCAGCAGCAGCAGCAGCAAGUUCCUGUGGUGGAUUUCCAGGCAGAACUGAGACAGGCGUUCUUAGCUGAGACACCAAGAGGUGGUUAGAGUAGUAUUGAAACAUCAAGGUGGUGGAAAUCAAGGAAAACAGGAAACUGCAGAGGCCUGAGAGGGCAUCAGGAUCCCCUGGAUCUGGAUGGAGAUGGAGACAUAUGGACCCAUCCAUUGUCUGAAGCGUCAGUCAAGCUUACAUUGUGUCUAAGAAC